AGAGUUUGAUCAUGGCUCAGAUUGAACGCUGGCGGCAGGCCUAACACAUGCAAGUCGAACGGUAACAGGAAGCAGCUUGCUGCUUUGCUGACGAGUGGCGGACGGGUGAGUAAUGUCUGGGAAACUGCCUGAUGGAGGGGGAUAACUACUGGAAACGGUAGCUAAUACCGCAUAACGUCGCAAGACCAAAGAGGGGGACCUUCGGGCCUCUUGCCAUCGGAUGUGCCCAGAUGGGAUUAGCUAGUAGGUGGGGUAACGGCUCACCUAGGCGACGAUCCCUAGCUGGUCUGAGAGGAUGACCAGCCACACUGGAACUGAGACACGGUCCAGACUCCUACGGGAGGCAGCAGUGGGGAAUAUUGCACAAUGGGCGCAAGCCUGAUGCAGCCAUGCCGCGUGUAUGAAGAAGGCCUUCGGGUUGUAAAGUACUUUCAGCGGGGAGGAAGGGAGUAAAGUUAAUACCUUUGCUCAUUGACGUUACCCGCAGAAGAAGCACCGGCUAACUCCGUGCCAGCAGCCGCGGUAAUACGGAGGGUGCAAGCGUUAAUCGGAAUUACUGGGCGUAAAGCGCACGCAGGCGGUUUGUUAAGUCAGAUGUGAAAUCCCCGGGCUCAACCUGGGAACUGCAUCUGAUACUGGCAAGCUUGAGUCUCGUAGAGGGGGGUAGAAUUCCAGGUGUAGCGGUGAAAUGCGUAGAGAUCUGGAGGAAUACCGGUGGCGAAGGCGGCCCCCUGGACGAAGACUGACGCUCAGGUGCGAAAGCGUGGGGAGCAAACAGGAUUAGAUACCCUGGUAGUCCACGCCGUAAACGAUGUCGACUUGGAGGUUGUGCCCUUGAGGCGUGGCUUCCGGAGCUAACGCGUUAAGUCGACCGCCUGGGGAGUACGGCCGCAAGGUUAAAACUCAAAUGAAUUGACGGGGGCCCGCACAAGCGGUGGAGCAUGUGGUUUAAUUCGAUGCAACGCGAAGAACCUUACCUGGUCUUGACAUCCACAGAACUUUCCAGAGAUGGAUUGGUGCCUUCGGGAACUGUGAGACAGGUGCUGCAUGGCUGUCGUCAGCUCGUGUUGUGAAAUGUUGGGUUAAGUCCCGCAACGAGCGCAACCCUUAUCCUUUGUUGCCAGCGGUCCGGCCGGGAACUCAAAGGAGACUGCCAGUGAUAAACUGGAGGAAGGUGGGGAUGAUGUCAAGUCAUCAUGGCCCUUACGACCAGGGCUACACACGUGCUACAAUGGCGCAUACAAAGAGAAGCGACCUCGCGAGAGCAAGCGGACCUCAUAAAGUGCGUCGUAGUCCGGAUUGGAGUCUGCAACUCGACUCCAUGAAGUCGGAAUCGCUAGUAAUCGUGGAUCAGAAUGCCACGGUGAAUACGUUCCCGGGCCUUGUACACACCGCCCGUCACACCAUGGGAGUGGGUUGCAAAAGAAGUAGGUAGCUUAACCUUCGGGAGGGCGCUUACCACUUUGUGAUUCAUGACUGGGGUGAAGUCGUAACAAGGUAACCGUAGGGGAACCUGCGGUUGGAUCACCU
rnacentral:rRNA from 1 species